rnacentral:rRNA from 1 species
CCUACGGGAGGCAGCAGUGGGGAAUAUUGCACAAUGGGGGAAACCCUGAUGCAGCGACGCCGCGUGAGUGAAGAGGUAUUUCGGUAUGUAAAGCUCUAUCAGCAGGGAAGAAAUAAAGUCCUUCGGACUUUGGACGGUACCUGACUAAGAAGCCCCGGCUAACUACGUGCCAGCAGCCGCGGUAAUACGGAGGGGGCAAGCGUUAUCCGGAUUUACUGGGUAUAAAGGGAGCGUAGACGGCAGCGCAAGUCUGGAGCGAAAUCCCAUGGCUUAACCAUGGAACUGCUUUGGAAACUGUGCAGCUGGAGUGCAGGAGAGGUAAGCGGAAGUCCUAGUGUAGCGGUGAAAUGCGUAGAUAUUAGGAGGAACACCAGUGGCGAAGGCGGCUUACUGGACUGUAACUGACGUUGAGGCUCGAAAGCGUGGGGAGCAAACAGGAUUAGAUACCCGGGUAGUC